rnacentral:rRNA from 1 species
CCUACGGGAGGCAGCAGUCGAGAAUCAUUCACAAUGGGGGAAACCCUGAUGGUGCGACGCCGCGUGGGGGAAUGAAGGUCUUCGGAUUGUAAACCCCUGUCAUGUGGGAGCAAAUUAAAAAGAUAGUACCACAAGAGGAAGAGACGGCUAACUCUGUGCCAGCAGCCGCGGUAAUACAGAGGUCUCAAGCGUUGUUCGGAAUCACGGGGCGUAAGGCGUGCGUAGGCUGUUUCGUAAGUCGUGUGUGAAAGGCGCGGGCUCAACCCGCGGACGGCACAUGAUACUGCGAGACUAGAGUAAUGGAGGGGGAACCGGAAUUCUCGGUGUAGCAGUGAAAUGCGUAGAUAUCGAGAGGAACACUCGUGGCGAAGGCGGGUUCCUGGACAUUAACUGACGCUGAGGCACGAAGGCCAGGGGAGCGAAAGGGAUUAGAUACCCGUGUAGUC